rnacentral:rRNA from 1 species
UACAGAGGGUGCAAGCGUUGUUCGGAUUUACUGGGCGUAAAGAGCGCGCAGGCGGUCGUUCAAGUCGCGUGUGAAAGCCCCCGGCUCAACUGGGGAGGGUCACGCGAUACUGAUCGACUCGAAGGCAGGAGAGGGAAGUGGAAUUCCCGGUGUAGUGGUGAAAUGCGUAGAUAUCGGGAGGAACACCAGUGGCGAAGGCGACUACCUGGCCUGUUCUUGACGCUGAGGCGCGAAAGCUAGGGGAGCAAACGGG